AGAGAUAAAGUGAGAGAGAAAGGGGGGCAAUCUUGGCAUCCUUCAUCCAUCUCCUGUCAUAUAUAUACUGUGUAUAUUGACUAUAUUCAUCUAUCCCAUUACGAAAGAGUUCUGAGUCUUCUUCUUCUCCUCCUUCACUCGCUUAUCUUUCUUCUCCUUCACAUCUUUCAGGAAGAGGGAUAGAUCGCCAUGUAUGUGAUAAUAAUAUCAGUGCCUAUGAUCAUUUUGCUGCUCAUCAUCGCCAUUGCUUGUUACCUAUUUGGAAGGUCAAGAGGCUGAGGUUGAUCGCCAAUCGUACGAUCAGGAGGAAGACAGACAGACAGACUUUGAUUGCGAGUUUUGCCGAUUAGAUUUUGGGGGAAGAGAUCGAACUGUGAAGAGGGAAGUCUUAGUUUUAUUGAGUCAAAAGCAGCAGAAUGGGCUAUGUUAUUGUAAUAUCGUUACCAGUUAUAAUAUUGUUCAUUGUCACUGCCGUGGUUUGCUACCUAAUCGGACGGAAACGUAGUCGUGAUAUAGCUGCAGGCAGAUAUCCUCAGCAUUACGGCCCACCAGCACCGCCGCCCGCCGUCAUGUCUCCGCCGCCACCGGGAAAAGGACCUUACUAAUGUGUUACUGGCUGCCUUGCUUGCUUCUUUGUCCAUGAUUAAUAAUUUUGGUACUAUGUGAAUGGUGUGCUU